rfam:Candidatus Peribacteria bacterium RIFCSPLOWO2_12_FTLL_53_10 rifcsplowo2_12_scaffold_17004, whole genome shotgun sequence.
UUUUUGAAGAGUUUGAUCCUAGCUCAGAGUGAACGCUAGCGGUGCGCCUAACACAUGCAAGUCGAGUGGGUUUAGACCCACGGCAGACGGCUGAGUAACACGUUGGUACCUACCCCGAACUCAGGGAUAACCCCGCGAAAGCGGGACUAAUACCGGAUGGUCCCCGCACCUUUUUGUCCUUUGUUACAAUGAAUUCAUGCACUUCGUCUAUCUUCUAUACAGCGAAUCUUCCGAUCGAUUCUAUGUCGGCUCAACGAGUGAUCUUGGGCAGAGAUUACAAUCUCAUAACGACAAGAGGAACAAGUCCACAGUUUAUGGUGCGCCAUGGAAAUUGGUGUACUACGAAGCAUAUGGGAAUCGAUUGGCAGCCCUCGAUCGUGAACGUAAAUUAAAGAAUCACGGAAAAGGUAUUGCUGAAUUGAAGAAGCGAAUUGCAAUCAGAGAGCAAAAAGGUGCGGGGUAAAGAUUUUUCGGUUCGGGAGGGGCCUGCGGCCUAUCAGAUAGUUGGUGAGGUAAUGGCUUACCAAGUCGAUGACGGGUAGCUGGUUUGAGAGAACGACCAGCCAGAAUGGAACUGAGACACGGUCCAUACUCCUACGGGAGGCAGCAGUGAGGAAUCUUCCGCAAUGGGCGAAAGCCUGACGGAGCGACACCGC